CCUACGGGUGGCUGCAGUGGGGAAUAUUGGACAAUGGGCGAAAGCCUGAUCCAGCCAUGCCGCGUGUGUGAAGAAGGCCUUCGGGUUGUAAAGCACUUUCAGUGGGGAAGAAAGCCUUGGGGCUAAUACCCUCGAGGAAGGACAUCACCCACAGAAGAAGCACCGGCUAACUCCGUGCCAGCAGCCGCGGUAAUACGGAGGGUGCGAGCGUUAAUCGGAAUUACUGGGCGUAAAGCGCGCGUAGGCGGUCUGAUAAGCCGGUUGUGAAAGCCCCGGGCUCAACCUGGGAACGGCAUCCGGAACUGUCAGGCUAGAGUGCAGGAGAGGAAGGUAGAAUUCCCGGUGUAGCAGGGAAAUGCGUAGAGAUCGGGAGGAAUACCAGUGGCGAAGGCGGCCUUCUGGACUGACACUGACGCUGAGGUGCGAAAGCGUGGGUAGCAAACAGGAUUAGAUACCCGAGUAGUC
rnacentral:rRNA from 1 species